rnacentral:pre_miRNA from 1 species
UAGAUACUCCCUUCGUUCGGAAUUACUUGUCGCAGAAAUGGAUGUAUCUAGACAUAUUUUAGUUCUAGAUACAUCCAUUUCCGAGACAAGUAAUUUCGAACGGAGGGAGUAGUAG